CACGUAGGGGGCGAGCGUUGUCCGGAAUUAUUGGGCGUAAAGAGCUUGUAGGCGGUUUGUCGCGUCUGCUGUGAAAUUUCGGGGCUCAACCCCGAACUUGCAGUGGGUACGGGCAGACUAGAGUGUGGUAGGGGAGACUGGAAUUCCUGGUGUAGCGGUGAAAUGCGCAGAUAUCAGGAGGAACACCGAUGGCGAAGGCAGGUCUCUGGGCCAUAACUGACGCUGAGAAGCGAAAGCAUGGGGAGCGAACAGG
rnacentral:rRNA from 1 species